CAGCCGCGCGGUGAGUGCAUAGCGAACUAUUCUUUCGCCUUUUACUAAAGAAUACCGUGUGCUCGCCGUUUAAAACGGCAUACGCCUAUUUUUUGAGGGUUUUCUCCAUUUUCUGGAGUGAC
rnacentral:snRNA from 1 species